UCAAUUUUCACGGAGCUGGAUAAGUCAACAUGGAGGCUAGAAACUACUUCAAAUAUAGAUUCUACAGUUUAUCCUCUUCUUACACUGUUCAAAUUGUUGAAAAUAAAACCAUAUCAGAAGGCGGAAUUCACACCCGGGGAGCUUAAUUCUCGAAAGCGCUCACUGAAUCUUGAAGGUGAGGAAGAAGCCGCAGCAAUGUUAUCUUUGACAAAGAGGCGAAAGGUUUGCCAGCAGUAUCCAG
rnacentral:misc_RNA from 1 species